rnacentral:lncRNA from 1 species
UUCGCAAAGAAUAAAUAGGAGAUCUGGGGCCUAUUCCAUCAUGAGAUAUAAGGAUGAAGAAGUUUCGAGUUUAUAGCCGCUUGCAAGGUAAAAGAAAAUAUCUCUAAGUAAAGUAGAAAAAAAUAAAGAUAACGGACAGUCCCGCCUCAGUCCACAUAAAGUUGGGAACCAAUUAGUAGUAGCACCAUUAUUAAGGGUUGAGUACACAAGCUGCAAUCUAACUAAUAAAUUGAUCAGAGAAUUGAAAUUACUUAUGCACCUUUAAAAAAAAAACCCAUUGCACCUAUAUGCUUUUUCCAUAUCCACUUUGAUC